AUUGAACGCUGGCGGAAUGCUUUACACAUGCAUGUCGAACGGCAGCACGGACUUCGGUCUGGUGGCGAGUGGCGAACGGGUGAGUAAUGUAUCGGAACGUGCCCAGUCGUGGGGGAUAACGUAGUGAAAAUUACGCUAAUACCGCAUACGAUCUAUGGAUGAAAGCGGGGGAUCGCAAGACCUCGCGCGAUUGGAGCGGCCGAUAUCAGAUUAGGUAGUUGGUGGGGUAAAGGCCCACCAAGCCAACGAUCUGUAGCUGGCCUGAGAGGACGACCAGCCACACUGGAACUGAGACACGGUCCAGACUCCUACGGGAGGCAGCAGUGGGGAAUUUUGGACAAUGGGCGAAAGCCUGAUCCAGCCAUUCCGCGUGCAAGAUGAAGGCCCUCGGGUUGUAAACUGCUUUUGUACAGAACGAAAAGGUUUCUACUAAUACUAGGAGCUCAUGACGGUACUGUAAGAAUAAGCACCGGCUAACUACGUGCCAGCCGCCGCAGUAA
rnacentral:rRNA from 1 species